UACAGGGGGUGCAAACGUUGCUCGGAAUCAUUGGGCGUAAAGGGUGCGUAGGCGGGUCUUUAAGUCAGAGGUGAAAUCCUGGAGCUCAACUCCAGAACUGCCUUUGAUACUGGCGAUCUCGAGUCCGGGAGAGGUGAGUGGAACUGCGAGUGUAGAGGUGAAAUUCGUAGAUAUUCGCAAGAACACCAGUGGCGAAGGCGGCUCACUGGCCCGGUACUGACGCUGAGGUGCGAAAGCGUGGGGAGCAAACAGG
rnacentral:rRNA from 1 species